rnacentral:rRNA from 1 species
UUCGACCUCAAAUCAGGUAGGACUACCCGCUGAACUUAAGCAUAUCAUAAAGGCGGAGGAA